AAUUCGUUACAGGGCCUUGAUAGGAUUGAUGAACGUAAUGGCGCAGAAAGUGGCUCUUUCUCUCCCUCAGGUGAUGGCGCUGGUGUCUAUGCCUACAUCUUAGACACUGGUAUCCACACCGGCCAUAGUGACUUUGGAGGCAGAGCCAUCAACGCCG